rnacentral:rRNA from 1 species
UACGGAGGGUGCAAGCGUUAUCCGGAUUCACUGGGUUUAAAGGGUGCGUAGGAGGGCAGGUAAGUCAGUGGUGAAAUCUCCGAGCUUAACUUGGAAACUGCCAUUGAUACUAUCUGUCUUGAAUAUUGUGGAGGUGAGCGGAAUAUGUCAUGUAGCGGUGAAAUGCUUAGAUAUGACAUAGAACACCAAUUGCGAAGGCAGCUCGCUACACAAAUAUCGACUCUGAGGCACGAAAGCGUGGGGAUCAAACAGG